UCUCUAUUAUUAUUGUAGCUAGUGUUUAUCCAAAAAAUAGAUAACAAUUAUCAAAUAAUAAAAUAGCAACUUGCAUUUAUUCUUUGGUUUGAAUUAGACAAUCUUAUCAUUUCUAGAUUUUCUAGUCUCUUUAUAGCUCCUCCUUUGAUCCUCAUCAUUUUCGUUGCCAAGUUGUGUAGCAUCUCUAACAUUCUCCUGCUUUUUUUGCUGAGACGGAAGGCACAAUUUGGUUCAAAAAUUGAGAGUUACUAUGGAUAUUGGUUUGAUGAAGAAGCCAACAAUGAUUUUUAUCUUCAUUUUUGCAAAGAUAUGUCAUCUGUGUAUAUAAGCAUUUCAAAUGCUUUCCAUACUGCAUGGUUUGUGUCUUAGCCUAUAACAAGUCUGGGGCUUUCUUCACACUGCUCCGAUGAUCCAACCAAGAAUGAAAGGACAACAAGAAUUAUGUGCCUGGAAAUUGACCUUGAUGACUUUUACAAGAGAAUGCUACUACUCAAGAAGAAGAAAUAUGCAACAGUAAAAGUGCAAUUUAAG